CACGUCUUUCUUCCCUCUUUCUUUUUAUAGUUCCUCUCUCGCUUCAGCUUCCUCUCUCUGUUUAAUCACUUUUACUCUGCGGAGUGCGGACAGCUCUAAGAUAUUGUGUUCUUGCUGGGCGAAUCUCUCCAAUCGAUUGAUGUGCCCUAGCAUUUAAUGUAUCUUCACUGGAUGUUCUUGAUAAUGCCAGUUCAUUAUCGCUUUUGAUCGUUGGUAUUUGACUGAAUCUGCUUUCGGCUCUGCUUCAGUCUGAACCUGCUUUCUCGCUGGAAGCUGCAUGCCAUGACGAACCCAGGUAUCUCCGAUGCAGCUUCAAGGCAGUUUCAGUCUGUUUCGUUGCUGGUGAUGAUGUUCUAAACACUUUUCAUACUCUGCUGUUGUUGAGGUUUCCUACUGACUUAACUGUCUCCUACCUCAGUGAAAGAAGAAAGGUGGUGUUACAUUGACACUUGUCAUAGAUUCUAAUCAGAAAUGACACAAAAUCCAAGAGUUGGAAAGGCCUUUGCUGCAAUGAAGGCGAUUGGCCUUAAUGAAGAAAUUGUCAAGCCUGUCCUAAAAAAUCUCUGGAGAUUGUUUGAUAAAAACUGGGAUCCCAUUGAAGAAGACAACUAUAGAGCUCUUGCAGAUGCUAUAUUUGAGUACGAGGAAUCUAAGGCAGCAGAAGAAAGGGACCGAGGAGAAGCCAUUGCGAAUGAGUCUGAACCUUCGUUGAAAAGACUGCGUAGGCAACCGGGUGGUCAGUCCUCGACUUCAGGUUGGAACUCCAGCUCCAUUUUGGGUGAAGGUUCACUUAAAAGACCAAAACUUGAGGAGUAUGGAUCUGAAACUUGCUACAGACAGGGAAGAACAGGACCUAUGCAGUUUGUAGACCAAAGAGUUGAGCCUGAGCCUGAGCUUGAGGUUGUUUCACCUAUGGCACAUAUGAAAAACAAGGGAAAAGAAUCUGCUUCACCCCAAACUUGCCCCGAGCAGGAAGGAGCAGUGCCAUUAGAAAUAUGUAGAAGAGACAGAAGAAUUGAAUCUGACUCUGCUUCACUUCAGGUAUUAGAAAGACACAAAGGGAAGGAUUCACCCGAAACUGCCGUUGAGGAGAAAAGAUCACCUUCAAUUUUUAAGGACAAAGGGAAGGAGCCUGUUUCACCUCAAAAUGCUUUUAGGGACAAAAUAUCUCCUUCAGAGGGAGCAGCAUCUCAGGCAGUCUGUCUUAAAGUGCCCAAGAUUGAGCCAGGAAUUGUUGUUAUCCCUAGAGAACAGAUUCCUAAUCAGAAAUAUAAUGACUUCAUAGAGCCCAAAAGCCAGGAUUUCACAGAUGAUCUGCCUCAGUUUGUGGUUCCAAUCGCCAUGAUCCGUCCAAUUCCAGUCCCCCAGAGAAUUGAAGAUCCUGUUAGUACAAAGGCUUCUUCAAGCAGAAAUUGUUCCGCUGUGGAAGUGGAUUGUCAGCCGGCCCAGGCUUCUCAGUCGGAGGAUGCAGAAGGUGAAGGUGAUUGGGUUUCAGAUAAAGCUUGCAAGACUGGGAAGGAGCAUGAACAUGUAAACAUCCCAAAAGAAUCUUCUGUUAGUUUUGAGAUUGCAUCUUCACCACUGGGAGAGGUCAAAAUCUUGUUAAGCUGUGAUUCUGCACCUGGGCAAUCGGGCUUCCAUGUCCCAAAUCUGGACAAAGUUCUUAAAAUGGUGGAGGACAGAUGUAUAAAAUCGUACCGAAUUGUUGAGCCCCGUUUCUCUGUGAUGAAUCUAAUGAAAGAAUUGUGCCUGUGUUUUCUGGAAUUGGGUAGUGGCCCUACAGAUAAAAAAGCAGAAAAUGGAAGAAACGCAAUACCAACUCUUGAUACAUUGGGAAGCUCUAAUGUGGCAAAUGCUCUGGGACCCAAGCAGAAUCUUCAGAACAACUUUAACGUGUCCCUGGGUUCAUCGAGUGGAUCAGGUGAUUUUAACAUUCCUCUGCCACAAAUUUCGAGGCAUCUAGCCAUGGAUGGCCUGGAUAGACAUGAUCCCAUUACACGACUUAAUCACAAAGUUGUUGCGAACUCUAAUGCUGAAAGGAAGAAGAAGAAAAAGGAGCCAAAAGAUCAAGGUAGAGGAAAUUCGAGUAGUUUGCUGGCUGUCCAACAGCACCUGUUUGGUGAUGUGAGGCCUCUCCAUGAUGUCAGUGACAUAUCUAAAGGGGAAGAAAAGAGAAGAAUUUCAGUAGUAAAUGAAUUUGGUGGAGACGAGUGUCCACCUUUAUUUUACUAUAUUCGACAAAAUAUUGUCUAUCAAAGUGCAUAUGUAAAAUUUUCACUUGCAAGGAUUGGAGACGAAGAUUGUUGUUCGAGCUGUUUUGGUGAUUGUUUAUCGUCUUCCAUACCUUGUGCUUGUGCACGAGAAAGUGGGGGUGAGUUUGCAUACACACAGGAAGGUAGAGUGAAGGAAAGGUUUCUGGAUGAAUGUAUUUCUAUGCUUCGUGACCCUGAUGGACACCCAUCGCGUUUUUAUUGCAAAGAUUGUCCCCUAGAAAGAUCAAAGAAUGAUGGGUUGGCGGAUCCAUGCAAGGGCCACUUAGUGAGGAAGUUUAUUAAGGAAUGCUGGAGUAAAUGUGGCUGCAACAAGCGAUGUAAAAAUCGAGUAGUGCAGCGAGGCAUAACAUGCAAGUUGCAGGUGUUCAUGACACCUGGAAAGAAAGGAUGGGGUCUUCAGUCACUUGAGGGUCUUCCUAAAGGUACUUUUAUCUGUGAGUAUGUGGGUGAAAUUGUUACUAACAUUGAGCUAUAUGAGCGCAAUAUGCGAAGCUCAGGAAAGGAAAAACAUACAUACCCUGUGCUGCUUGAUGCUGAUUGGGGCUCUGAAGGAGUAUUAAAUGAUGAAGAAUGUCUCUGUUUAGAUGCUACAUUCUAUGGAAAUGUUGCCAGAUUUAUUAAUCACAGAUGUUUUGAUGCCAACAUGAUUGGGAUUCCAGUGGAAGUGGAGACACCUGAUCAUCACUACUAUCAUGUAUGCUGCCAGAGUAUCUUCAUCUUGCUUUCUUCACAACAAGAAACAUAUUUGCUUUGGAAGAACUUACCUGGGACUACGGGAUUGACUUUGAUGACCAUAAACACCCUGUGAAGGCCUUUCAGUGUUGCUGUGGAAGCAAGUUCUGUCGAGACAAGAAGUGUUCAAACAGAGGCAAGUCACUAGUCUUGGGGUGACCAACAUGCGAGUCUUUCUGCUUGAAAUUACUGGAUCUUGAGUAUUCGUGAAGAUGUAAGCUGGUUAAUGCUACAGUUUCGCAAGUGGGAUGCCACCAUUGAGAAGAAAUCUGCUGAGUGAGGUGUCUGAAGGGUACACCUGAUAACUUACCUGUCUGAAUAUUUCAGUUCUUUGCUAAAUCUCCAAUGAGAUUUUUUGGGGCGAAUUGUACAGGUUUUUGUAGGUCAGAGGGGUUGGCUACUUUCAACUGAAGGCUGUAAAAUUUGCUGGUUUGCCUGGCUUUGUCUUAGUUUUUUCAAAAUGCAGAAUUCAUGGUUUUGUGAGAACCCAGUUUGCUAUGGUUAGCCUUUUGAAACUGGUUCCAUUUGUUUACCUUGAUGGAUUUUAGCUGCAGCACUGUAUUUGAAAAUGGUAGCAAGUCCACUUUUAUUAUGAUAAAAUUUUGAGGCAGAUACAGUUUUCUCGGGC